rnacentral:rRNA from 1 species
CCUACGGGAGGCAGCAGUGGGGAAUAUUGCACAAUGGGCGAAAGCCUGAUGCAGCAACGCCGCGUGAGCGAUGAAGGCCUUCGGGUCGUAAAGCUCUGUCCUCAAGGAAGAUAAUGACGGUACUUGAGGAGGAAGCCCCGGCCAACUACGUGCCAGCAGCCGCGGUAAUACGUAGGGGGCUAGCGUUAUCCGGAAUUACUGGGCGUAAGGGGUGUGUAGGUGGUUUCUUAAGUCAGAGGUAAAAGGCUACGGCUCAACCGUAGUAAGCCUUUGAAACUGGGAAACUUGAGUGCAGGAGAGGAGAGUGGAAUUCCUAGGGUAGCGGUGAAAUGCGUAGAUAUUAGGAGGAACACCAGUUGCGAAGGCGGCUCUCUGGACUGUAACUGACACUGAGGCACGAAAGCGUGGGGAGCAAACAGGAUUAGAUACCCGGGUAGUC